UACGGAGGGUGCAAGCGUUGUUCGGAAUUAUUGGGCGUAAAGGGCGCGUAGGCGGUUGCGUAAGUCAGAUGUGAAAUACUUCGGCUCAACUGAAGAACUGCAUUUGAUACUGCGUAACUAGAGUACAGGAGAGGGAAACGGAAUUCCCGGUGUAGAGGUGAAAUUCGUAGAUAUCGGGAGGAACACCAGUGGCGAAGGCGGUUUCCUGGUCUGAUACUGACGCUGAGGCGCGAAAGCGUGGGGAGCAAACAGG
rnacentral:rRNA from 1 species